UGGAUGUGAGAAAAAUGAAGGAUUUUUCAAGAAUUCACAGGAACACUUGACUCUCUGUUCACCCUGGAGAUGGACUAAGGUUUCUGCAAGAACUCAACACAUGGAUCCGUCGGUCUGGUGGUAUUUAUGCCAAAACACACGAGUUUUCUGCUGAAGGAGGGAUGGAGGGAGAAAGAAAGAAAGAACGGGGGGAGGAAAGGAUGGAAACCCAAAACAAAACAUGGCAUGAUAGUGUGUAAGCAGUUCCAUGUGUCCGGAGGACUGAUGGACCCUCUCUCUCUCUCUCUCUCUCUCUCUCUCUCU